rnacentral:rRNA from 1 species
GUGAGGAAUUUUCCGCAAUGGGCGAAAGCCUGACGGAGCAAUGCCGCGUGAAGGAUGAAGGCCUAUGGGUUGUAAACUUCUUUUCUCAGAAAAGAAUUAUGACGGUAUCUGAGGAAUAAGCAUCGGCUAACUCUAUGCCAGCAGCCGCGGUAAGACAGAGGAUGCAAGCGUUAUCCGGAAUGAUUGGGCGUAAAGCGUCUGUAGGUUGUUUAAAAAGUAUUCUGUCAAAGAUUAGGGCUUAACCCUAGAUAGGCAGAAUAAACUUUUAAGCUAGAGUUUGGUAGAGGCAGAGGGAAUUCCCGGUGGAGCGGUGAAAUGCGUAGAUAUCGGGAGGAACACCAAAGGCGAAGGCACUCUGCUGGGCCAAUACUAACACUGAGAGACGAAAGCGAGGGGAGCAAAUGGGAUUAGAAACCCCAGUAGUCC